UCUCGGCCUUAUGGCUAAGAUCAAAGUGUAGUAUCUGUUCUUAUCAGCUUAAUAUCUGAUACGCCCCGCAUGCGGGGCCAGUAUAUUAAACUGAUUUUUGGAAAUUGACGGAGGCUAGGGGCUUGCUCCACCUCCGUCGCGGGUUGGCCCGGCAUUGCAGUACAGUCGGGAUCGGCCCACCUAAUUUAAUAAAACAUAAGUUUUCAUCGAUACUUUCGUGGUAAAAUUGCGAAAAAGUUUCAAGAUAUUCGAAAAACUGAUCGCAACGUUCGGUGAAGUUCAACAGUCGCUCUGGAUUGCGUCGUGUCUAUUCAAAAGGCCUACUUGACAUGUCAAAUUACGGGCGCAUUAUUCAACAUAGAACGACGAGAGACAACCAUUUUAACACUCAAUUUAUCGCCAUUCAGACACGGGUUAUGCGAACAUGUGGCCUCGAGCCCGGACAAGGUUCAAGAUUAGAUAAUGUACGGUUUAAGGAAGCGAAUUGGGUAAAACACGGAGCACAUACAUCGGCCUUUCUAGAAAGCUGGCUGUUGGGUCCGUUUCAAACACUUUGUCGCCCUGUAGGAACGAAAACACGCUGAUCUGGACAUCAAUUUUCUUUCGGUGCUGCCAUCUGAUGAGCACCGAUAAUUUGUGUUGAGAACAUUGCGGAAGGAAAAAAUCAUAGAUUCGGCGGAAAAGACUCUGGAGAAUUUGGGCUCGGUCGGCAGUAGCAGCACCACCCCCCUCCACUCCACGCUGUCACCAGUGCGAAUGAGGGUUAUUGAGCGAGCGUAGUCGUGCGAGUAACGAAAGUGACUGGUAGAUACCGCUGACGCUUGCUGUUGCCGAACGGAUAAAUUCGGUUUUGGUAUAUCAGUUUUUCGAAAAUUUUGAGUUGUUAUCGCUUCUCGGCCUUAUGGCUAAGAUCAAAGUGUAGUAUCUGUUCUUAUCAGCUUAAUAUCUGAUACGCCCCGCAUGCGGGGCCAGUAUAUUAAACUGAUUUUUGGAAAUUGACGGAGAUUAGGGGCUUGCUCCACCUCCGUCGCGGGUUGGCCCGGCAUUGCAGUACAGUCGGGAUCGGCCCA